AGUAGCCGCGGGAAAACGGAGGGUGCAAGCGUUAAUCGGAAUUACUGGGCGUAAAGCGCACGCAGGCGGUUUGUUAAGUCAGAUGUGAAAUCCCCGAGCUUAACUUGGGAACUGCAUUUGAAACUGGCAAGCUAGAGUCUUGUAGAGGGGGGUAGAAUUCCAGGUGUAGCGGUGAAAUGCGUAGAGAUCUGGAGGAAUACCGGUGGCGAAGGCGGCCCCCUGGACAAAGACUGACGCUCAGGUGCGAGAGCGUGGGGAGCAAACAGGAUUAGAUACCCCUGUAGUCCCUGUCUCUUAUACA
rnacentral:rRNA from 1 species